CCUACGGGUGGCAGCAGUCGAGAAUCAUUCACAAUGGGGGAAACCCUGAUGGUGCGACGCCGCGUGGGGGAAUGAAGGUCUUCGGAUUGUAAACCCCUGUCAUGUGGGAGCAAAUUAAAAAGAUAGUACCACAAGAGGAAGAGACGGCUAACUCUGUGCCAGCAGCCGCGGUAAUACAGAGGUUUCAAGCGUUGUUCGGACUCACUAGGCGUAAAGGGUGCGUAGGCUGUUUCGUAAGUCGGGUGAGAAAGGCGCGGGCUCAACCCGCCGACGGCACAGGAUAAUGCGAGACUAGAGUACUGGAGGGGGAACCGGAAUUCUCGGUGUAGCAGUGAAAUGCGUAGAUAUCGAGAGGAACACUCGUGGCGAAGGCGGGUUCCUGGACAUUAACUGACGCUGAGGCACGAAGGCCAGGGGAGCGAAAGGGAUUAGAUACCCCAGUAGUC
rnacentral:rRNA from 1 species